rnacentral:rRNA from 1 species
AACGAACGCUGGCGGCAGGCUUAACACAUGCAAGUCGAGCGCCCCGCAAGGGGAGCGGCCGCCGGGUGAGUAACGCGUGGGAACGUACCUUUUGGUUCGGAACAACUCCGGGAAACUGGAGCUAAUACCGGAUAAGCCCUAACGGGGAAAGAUUUAUCGCCGAAAGAUCGGCCCGCGUCUGAUUAGCUAGUUGGUGAGGUAACGGCUCACCAAGGCGACGAUCAGUAGCUGGUCUGAGAGGAUGAUCAGCCACACUGGGACUGAGACACGGCCCAGACUCCUACGGGAGGCAGCAGUGGGGAAUAUUGGACAAUGGGCGCAAGCCUGAUCCAGCCAUGCCGCGUGAGUGAUGAAGGCCUUAGGGUCGUAAAGCUCUUUUGUCCGGGAAGAUAAUGACUGUACCGGAAGAAUAAGCCCCGGCUAACUUCGUG